rnacentral:rRNA from 1 species
GACGAACGCUGGCGGCGUGCCUAAUACAUGCAAGUUGAGCGCUGAAGGUUGGUGCUUGUGCCAACUGGGUGAGCAGCGAACGGGUGAGUAACGCGUGGGGAAUCUGCCUUUGUGCGGGGGACAACAUUUGGAAACGAAUUCUAAUACCGCAUAAAAACUUUAAACACAAGUUUUAAGUUUGAAAGAUGCAAUUGCAUCACUCAAAGAUGAUCCCGCGUUGUAUUAGCUAGUUGGUGAGGUAAAGGCUCACCAAGGCGAUGAUACGUAGCCGACCUGAGAGGGUGAUCGGCCAACUUGGGACUGAGACAAGGCCCAAAACCCUACGGGAGGCAGCAGGAGGGAAACUUUGGAAAUGGAGGGAAGGCUGACCGAGGCACGCCGCGGGAGGGAAGAAGGGUUUCGGAUCGUAAAACUCGGUUGGUAGAGAAGAAAGUUGGUGAGAGUGGAAAGCUCAUCAAGUGACGGUAACUACACAGAAAGGGACGGCUAACUACGUG